CUUCAUUUUGGUAGAUGUUGAGGUUAGGGUCUCGCAAAGCAAAAUUGUUUCUCUUCCGGGUAACUAAGCAAAGUGCUCGUUCUUUCCAGAACAUGGUUCUGACAGAUCAAAUGAAUGAAGUUAUUAGAGACCCAAUUGACCAUGAAGACGUUGAAGAGAAAAAACUUCAUCUGCCGUCUUGGAUCCCUCAUCCACGCACUGGGAUAUACUACCCAAUAGGGCACGAACAAGUAAUGAAGGAUGUUCCUAAUGGUGCGGCUUCUUUUGGACAAACUUACGAGAAAAUUUUUGAUGGGGCGAAAUCCGAAAGGGGUGUGGGGGACCAAUCACAAGCCGUCAGUUUUUCUUUUUAAUUUGGACGGUUUCUAACUAACUUUAAUUGUGAUUGUAUACUCCCAAAUUACCCCUCCAUUAAUUCCAGAAUAAAUAUCAUCAAAUAUCUAAAGUAAUAAUUAACCGGUCAAACCAACCGAUGAUAUAUGGAAACAAAUAAAACAUGAUCUCACUGAUAUCUCGCUCACUCAUAUUGAAAAGAUCUUUUCAUCAAGUAAAAAUUAUGAACCACUUUCAUC